rnacentral:sRNA from 1 species
GCUGGGCAUGGUGGUACAUGCCUGUAAUCCCAGCUACUUGGGAGGCUGAGGCAGGAGAAUCGCUUGAACCCAGGAGGUAGAGGUUGCAGUAAGCUGAGAUUGAGCCACUGUACUCCAGCCUGGGUGACACAGUAAGACCCUGUUUCAAAAAGAGAGAAUAAAGUAUUAUUGAGUCCAGGAGUUCAAGGUUACAGCGAACUAUGAUCAUGCCACUGCACUCCAGCCUGGGUGACAGAGUGAGAUCCUGUCUCU